GUUACAUUGCAAUGCAAGUAUCGUCUAUUAGGACUACAUCAAUUUCCUAGAAAAUGAAACAUUUUAAAGCAUAUAAAUUUCUAAAAUUCUGUGAACUGUCUUCACUCUCCUCCAAGUACCAAAGAUCAGCAUAAAUUAUCCAAGGAUCCAAGUAAUCACCUAGUAUUGAACUUCUCAUCAACCUAUAAAGAAAAAAGCAUAAUACUAUUCAGUUAUAAAUUCGAAAUUUGAAGUCUAAAAAUAUACAUGCUAUGCAUUCUACGGAAAGGAUCUACAUAAAAAUACCACGUGUCCAAGAGAAGAUGUUUCGGAGAACAGACAUAAGCAUAUGUAUGUCUUACACAUAACUUAGUAGAGUUCAGAUUAAGACACUAAUGACGUGUUUGGUUCGCAGAAAAAUAGCGGUUUCUGAUUUCAAUGCUUCCUGAAACCAUACCAUUCACCUGCAAUGUCUUUUAUAGCUGUGGUUUCUGAUACAGGACUUCACAAAACUAAAAAUGCCCAGAUCGAAGCUGAUUGGAAAACUGAAACAUAUCUGCACCAACCAAAUGAAGCGUGUUUUCCAUAGAGCCAAUCGGAAGCAAAGCUUCCCAAUACGAUAAAAUCAAUAUGUUUCUGGAGCCGAACGAGAUGUGUCGCAGGCAUCUUUGAUCAAUCGGAUGUGCCUAGUCACUAUCAACAACCAUCAACAUGUAUUUACUACUAACAAUUAUCCAAAGAUUGUAUUAUAUUAAUAAUGAGAUGAAUUCAACAACCAACUAGGUGGUAAGUACUUAGAUAACAAUAAUAUCGACUAAAGAAUUGUAUUUCUUUUUUCCAAAGGACUCUGCACUAAUUAGUUUUGCUUUCUAUGAUGUAUUAAGAGAGAAAAUAUCGAUGCCAUCAGCUUGAAAACCGUCACACAAAACUGCGUAGUUACCUGAGAACUACAACUUCGGACAUUAGAAAUUUUCAAUCCAUGAGUGCAUUCUCAGAACCUGUAGAGGGAACAACAUGAAAAAGGAACACAUCAUCAGAUUUGGGGCAGUUGGCAUUGUUAACUGUGAAAUGGAAAAGGGGUGUUGUUGGAUAACUUUCUAAUCCACUCUGCUUGCCAUCAUGCCUGGCCUGAGCCCCUGACGCAGCCUUGCUGGAUAGCAUGAUCUAAUUAUUACAGACAAGAUCAUGCCCUAAUUAGAAGAGAGGACAUGAGAGAAUAAUUCAUUAGAAGUUAGGAAAGAUAAAUCGGAGGAACCAUACUAUACUGAGCCGCUAUAGGAAGUUUGGUUCCACUCUUACCGCAACACCACCACAAU
rnacentral:lncRNA from 1 species